GGAGGGUGCGAGCGUUGUCCGGAAUCACUGGGCGUAAAGGGCGCGUAGGCGGCCUGAUAAGUAGGGGGUGAAAUCCUGCGGCUUAACCGCAGGGCUGCCUUCUAAACUGUCAGGCUGGAGCACAGWAGAGGCAGGUGGAAUUCCCGGUGUAGCGGUGGAAUGCGUAGAGAUCGGGAAGAACAUCARUGGCGAAGGCGGCCUGCUGGGCUGUUGCUGACGCUGAGGCGCGACAGCGUGGGGAGCAAACAGGAUUAGAUACCCUGGUAGUCCACGCCGUAAACGAUGGGCACUAGGCGUCGGGGGGAGCGACCCUCCCGGUGCCGUCGCUAACGCAGUAAGUGCCCCGCCUGGGGAGUACGGCCGCAAGGCUG
rnacentral:rRNA from 1 species